rnacentral:rRNA from 1 species
AAACUCAAAGGAAUUGACGGGGGCCCGCACAAGCGGUGGAUUAUGUGGUUUAAUUCGAUGAUACGCGAGGAACCUUACCAAGGCUUAAAUGGGAAUUGAUCGGUUUAGAAAUAGACCUUCCUUCGGGCAAUUUUCAAGGUGCUGCAUGGUUGUCGUCAGCUCGUGCCGUGAGGUGUUAGGUUAAGUCCUGCAACGAGCGCAACCCCUGUCACUAGUUGCCAUCAUUAAGUUGGGGACUCUAGUGAGACUGCCUACGCAAGUAGAGAGGAAGGUGGGGAUGACGCCAAAUCAUCACGGCCCUUACGCCUUGGGCCACACACGUAAUACAAUGGCCGGUACAGAGGGCAGCUACACAGCGAUGUGAUGCAAAUCUCGAAAGCCGGUCUCAGUUCGGAUUGGAGUCUGCAACUCGACUCUAUGAAGCUGGAAUCGCUAGUAAUCGCGCAUCAGCCAUGGCGCGGUGAAUACGUUCCCGGGCCUUGUACACACCGCCCGUC